rnacentral:rRNA from 1 species
GACGAACGCUGGCGGCGUGCCUAAUACAUGCAAGUAGAACGCUGAAGAGAGGAGCUUGCUCUUCUUGGAUGAGUUGCGAACGGGUGAGUAACGCGUAGGUAACCUGCCUUGUAGCGGGGGAUAACUAUUGGAAACGAUAGCUAAUACCGCAUAACAAUGGAUGACACAUGUCAUUUAUUUGAAAGGGGCAAUUGCUCCACUACAAGAUGGACCUGCGUUGUAUUAGCUAGUAGGUGAGGUAAUGGCUCACCUAGGCGACGAUACAUAGCCGACCUGAGAGGGUGAUCGGCCACACUGGGACUGAGACACGGCCCAGACUCCUACGGGAGGCAGCAGUAGGGAAUCUUCGGCAAUGGGGGCAACCCUGACCGAGCAACGCCGCGUGAGUGAAGAAGGUUUUCGGAUCGUAAGCUCUGUUGUAAGUCAAGAACGGGUGUGAGAGUGGAAAGUUCACACUGUGACGGUAGCUUACCAGAAAGGGACGGCUAACUACGUG